GUCCCCGUAGCUUAAUGGAUAGAGCGACAGCUUGCGGAGCUGUAGGUUGCGAGUUCGACUCUCGCCGGGGACGCCA
rnacentral:tRNA from 5 species